rnacentral:rRNA from 1 species
AGAGUUUGAUCCUGGCUCAGGAUGAACGCCGGCGGUGUGCCUAAUACAUGCAAGUCGUACGCACUGGCCCAACUGAUUGAUGGUGCUUGCACCUGAUUGACGUUGGAUCACCAGUGAGUGGCGGACGGGUGAGUAACACGUAGGUAACCUGCCCCGGAGCGGGGGAUAACAUUUGGAAACAGAUGCUAAUACCGCAUAACAACAAAAGCCACAUGGCUUUUGUUUGAAAGAUGGCUUUGGCUAUCACUCUGGGAUGGACCUGCGGUGCAUUAGCUAGUUGGUAAGAUAACGGCUUACCAAGGCGAUGAUGCAUAGCCGAGUUGAGAGACUGAUCGGCCACAAUGGAACUGAGACACGGUCCAUACUCCUACGGGAGGCAGCAGUAGGGAAUCUUCUACAAUGGGCGCAAGCCUGAUGGAGCAACACCGCGUGAGUGAAGAAGGGUUUCGGCUCGUAAAGCUCUGUUGUUGGAGAAGAACGUGCGUGAGAGUAACUGUUCACGCAGUGACGGUAUCCAACCAGAAAGUCACGGCUAACUACGUGCCAGCAGCCGCGGUAAUACGUAGGUGGCAAGCGUUAUCCGGAUUUAUUGGGCGUAAAGCGAGCGCAGGCGGUUGCAUAGGUCUGAUGUGAAAGCCUUCGGCUUAACCGAAGAAGUGCAUCGGAAACCGGGCGACUUGAGUGCAGAAGAGGACAGUGGAACUCCAUGUGUAGCGGUGGAAUGCGUAGAUAUAUGGAAGAACACCAGUGGCGAAGGCGGCUGUCUGGUCUGCAACUGACGCUGAGGCUCGAAAGCAUGGGUAGCGAACAGGAUUAGAUACCCUGGUAGUCCAUGCCGUAAACGAUGA